rnacentral:rRNA from 1 species
UACGGAGGGUGCAAACGUUGUUCGGAAUCACUGGGCAUAAAGCGCACGUAGGCGGCCAACUAAGUCAGGUGUGAAAUCCCCCGGCUCAACCGGGGAACUGCAUUUGAUACUGGUUGGCUCGAGGUUGGUAGGGGUGGAUGGAACUCCAGGUGGAGCGGUGAGAUGCGUAGAUAUCUGGAGGAACACCGAUGGCGAAGGCAGCCUCCUGGGCCAACACUGACGCUCAUGCACGAAAGCGUGGGGAGCAAACAGG